rnacentral:rRNA from 1 species
AUUGAACGCUGGCGGCAGGCUUAACACAUGCAAGUCGAGCGGGGAAAUGUAGCUUGCUACAUUACCUAGCGGCGGACGGGUGAGUAAUGCUUAGGAAUCUGCCUAUUAGUGGGGGACAACAUUUCGAAAGGAAUGCUAAUACCGCAUACGCCCUACGGGGGAAAGCAGGGGAUCUUCGGACCUUGCGCUAAUAGAUGAGCCUAAGUCGGAUUAGCUAGUUGGUGGGGUAAAGGCCUACCAAGGCGACGAUCUGUAGCGGGUCUGAGAGGAUGAUCCGCCACACUGGGACUGAGACACGGCCCAGACUCCUACGGGAGGCAGCAGUGGGGAAUAUUGGACAAUGGGGGGAACCCUGAUCCAGCCAUGCCGCGUGUGUGAAGAAGGCCCUUUGGUUGUAAAGCACUUUAAGCGAGGAGGAGGCUACCUAGAUUAAUACUCUGGGAUAGUGGACGUUACUCGCAGAAUAAGCACCGGCUAACUCUGUGCCGGCAGCCGCGGUAAUACAGAGGGUGCAAGCGUUAAUCGGAUUUACUGGGCGUAAAGCGUGCGUAGGUGGCCAAUUAAGUCAAAUGUGAAAUCCCCGAGCUUAACUUGGGAAUUGCAUUCGAUACUGGUUGGCUAGAGUAUGGGAGAGGAUGGUAGAAUUCCAGGUGUAGCGGUGAAAUGCGUAGAGAUCUGGAGGAAUACCGAUGGCGAAGGCAGCCAUCUGGCCUAAUACUGACACUGAGGUACGAAAGCAUGGGGAGCAAACAGGAUUAGAUACCCUGGUAGUCCAUGCCGUAAACGAUGUCUACUAGCCGUUGGGGUCUUUGAGACUUUAGUGGCGCAGCUAACGCGAUAAGUAGACCGCCUGGGGAGUACGGUCGCAAGACUAAAACUCAAAUGAAUUGACGGGGGCCCGCACAAGCGGUGGAGCAUGUGGUUUAAUUCGAUGCAACGCGAAGAACCUUACCUGGUCUUGACAUAGUAAGAACUUUCCAGAGAUGGAUUGG